rnacentral:rRNA from 1 species
GAUGAACGCUGGCGGCGUGCCUAAUACAUGCAAGUCGAGCGAAUGGAUUAAGAGCUUGCUCUUAUGAAGUUAGCGGCGGACGGGUGAGUAACACGUGGGUAACCUGCCCAUAAGACUGGGAUAACUCCGGGAAACCGGGGCUAAUACCGGAUAACAUUUUGAACCGCAUGGUUCGAAAUUGAAAGGCGGCUUCGGCUGUCCCUUAUGGAUGGACCCGCGUCGCAUUAGCUAGUUGGUGAGGUAACGGCUCACCAAGGCAACGAUGCGUAGCCGACCUGAGAGGGUGAUCGGCCACACUGGGACUGAGACACGGCCCAGACUCCUACGGGAGGCAGCGGUAGGGAAUCUUCCGCAAUGGACGAAAGUCUGACGGAGCAACGCCGCGUGAGUGAUGAAGGCUUUCGGGUCGUAAAACUCUGUUGUUAGGGAAGAACAAGUGCUAGUUGAAUAGGCUGGCACCUUGACGGUACCUAACCAGAAAGCCACGGCUAACUACGUGCCAGCCGCCGCCGUAA